CGCGUAGGCGGGCUGAUCAGUCUGUGGUGAAAGUUUACGGCUUAACCGUAAAAUUGCCUUGGAUACUGUCAGUCUUGAGUUCGGAAGAGGAAAGUGGAAUUCCUGGUGUAGCGGUGAAAUGCGUAGAUAUCAGGAAGAACACCGGUGGCGAAGGCGGCUUUCUGGUCCGAAACUGACGCUGAGGCGCGAAAGUGUGGGGAGCGAACAGGAUUAGAUACCCUGGUAGUCC
rnacentral:rRNA from 1 species